rnacentral:misc_RNA from 1 species
UCAACAGGCAAUGGUCAUGAGGUUAGUUUUGGAACAAAGCAUCACAAAUAUAGAAAGCAGAAGUACCCAAGUUCUCUGCCUGUAAUUCCAUAGUGGAACUAAUCAAAUAAAGAAUUGAGAACUUGUCUUCUAUUUUCUCUUGGAUGGGUUUGUUGAAUAAGAGAUUUUGGCCAUCACUUAGACAUAAAAAUCCAUCAUAUUGUUAUUCCUAGAACCCUGCACUAAAAAGGCUAGUUUUCAUCAGAAAGGCAAAUUUAAUAGUUCAGUAUGAGUUCAACAAGAAACGAG